rnacentral:misc_RNA from 1 species
GCGGGUAAGUUGUCGUAGGGGCCCGGUCCGUGAGGGACUGCUAAGGAAGAGGCUGCAUGGCGCGGUAGUCCCCCGAGUGGAGGUCGGCUGCCCCUGGGAAACCAGAGAGUCGGAGGGAGUCCAUCUGGAGCGGCCAAGUAGGUCGGGGAAGGGCCGCGCCUGACGUCUGGCCGCAGGUAGCCACGUUCCCUCCGCCCCCGGUGCAGCUUCAGGGCUUGCACCCUGCGUCCCUCUGUGGUCCUUCGAGAGGGUCUGGGCGGGGACUAUGGGUGGGCGCGCCCAGGAAUUGUCCCUUCGGCCUCUCGUCCUGCCCCUCCCCCCCACCAUCCAGUCUCUCCUUGGAAUAUACUCUUAAAAUCUUUCGGAUGGAGUUCUUUGGAGAAAUGGGUUUCCUGGAGUGUCAGGUGAUCAUUGAUGUUGAUUGUUUCUGAAAUGUUUAUUUAGGCAUCAAACCAACAUGCCUAAAUAAGUUUUUCAUUUCUACAGCGCCUAGAUUCAUUCCUAGCACAUAGUAGGCCCUAACUCAGAUGUGAAUGUAGGAUUCGUAGGAGCUGAGCAUUUGUGCUUCAGGCAUCAAGUUGUCUUUGACUCUUCGACUCUUCCUUGGUCUUUUUCCAUUCUCCACACCUCCAGCAGCAAACCUUUCGCCUCUCCUCAAGGCCUUUCCCCCCCAUCUCCCUCAGCGCCUCUUUGACUGGAGGGGGACAGAGGCUUUCAUGGCAGGGAUUCUCCCAUCUCCCUUCCUAUCCCCGCUAUGCCCUCCAAUUAUCUUUUCCUGGCGUUCCGUUUUACAAGAGAUGGCCUUCUUUCCAAAAACAUUUAUAUUGUAUUGAAUAUUCUUGAUUUUGGCCAUCUUGCUUUACAGACAGACCUGGGGUCUAAUUUCAGCUCUGCCACUUACCAGGUGGUUGCCUUGUGCAAAUUUCUUGAUCGUCUGUGUUUUCCUCAUCUGUAAAAUGGGGAAAAGAAUAAUAUGGACCUCAUAGAACUCUGGGGAGGAUUUAAACUAAGUGAAUAAUGUAUUUAGAUCAUUUAGGUUAGUGCCUGGAACAUAGUAAAUGUGCCGUAUAUGAUAGCUUUUGUUAGUAUUUGCCCCUUACCUCUUCUUCUGGGGUCUUGCUGUAUUAGCCUUUCCCAUGAGUGUAAAAAUACACUGUCUUCUCUGGCUUUUUCCUGUUUUUCUCUACAAAUGCUUGUGUUUUUCUCUAAAUUUUAUUUUUUGUCUUUUAGCGUCUACAUUAAGGACACAUUCUCAGUUUCGUAAUGAUUUUUCUUUUUCUUUUUUCCUUUUUUUUUGAGACUAUAGCCCAGGCUGGAGUGCAAUGGCAAGAUCUCGGCUUACUACAGGUUUGACCUCCUGUGCUCAAGCAAUCCUCCCACCUCAGCCUUCCAAGUAGCUGGAACUACAGGUGGUGACUCUCAAAAGGAAAUAGGAUCAUGGCAGCAGAUGAUGACAAUGGUGAUGGAACAAGUUUAUUUGAUGUCUUUUCUGCUUCUCCUCUUAAGAACAAUGAUGAAGGCUCACUGGACAUAUACGCUGGGUUGGACAGUGCUGUUUCUGACAGCGCUUCCAAAUCCUGUGUACCAUCAAGAAAUUGUUUGGACUUAUAUGAAGAGAUCCUGACUGAAGAAGGAACUGCAAAGGAGGCAACAUAUAAUGAUUUGCAAGUAGAAUAUGGAAAAUGUCAACUACAAAUGAAAGAGCUGAUGAAAAAAUUUAAAGAAAUACAGACACAGAAUUUCAGCUUAAUAAACGAAAACCAGUCUCUUAAGAAGAAUAUUUCAGCACUUAUCAAAACUGCCAGAGUGGAAAUAAACCGCAAGGAUGAAGAAAUAAGUAAUCUUCACCAAAGGUAUUACUGAGCGGUGUAGCUGUUAUAAAUUACGUGGGUAUUGAUAUGUGGAAUAUUUUUAACUUUUAGAGGAAAGAUGAAAAUAAUGUAUUUUUAUUUUUUAUUUUUUAAUUUUUUUUUUUUUUUAGAGACAGGGUCUCAUUUUGUCAC